GUUUCACAGUGUGCAUCCCAUGGCUGAAUACCACGGAGCUGCACGAGCUGUUGGAGGCUGUGCUAUUUACGUUAGUGACAAGCCUGGACAGCACGACUUUAAUCUUCUGAAGAAGCUUGUACUUCCAGAUGGUUCCAUAUUACGCGCCAAACUUCCAGGAAGGCCAACUAGAGACUGCUUGUUUUCUGAUCCAGCAAGAGACGGGAUAAGUCUUUUAAAAAUCUGGAAUCUCAACGAUUUCAAUGGAGUAGUCGGUGUAUUCAACUGUCAAGGUGCUGGAUGGUGUAAGGUUGGCAAGAAGAAUCUAAUCCACGAUUGUCAACCAGGGACAAUAACUGGGAUUGUUCGUGCUAAUGAUGUCAAUUACUUACCAAGGAUUGCUCAUGAUGGAUGGACCGGCGAUGCCAUUCUGUAUUCUCAUCUUCAUAGGGAAUUGAUCAAUCUUCCUAAAAAUACUUCGAUUCCAAUCACUCUAAACGCGAGAGAAUAUGAAGUCUUUACAGUUGUUCCAAUCAAUGAAAUGUCUACAGGAUCAAGAUUUGCUCCGAUUGGUCUUGUGAAUAUGUUCAAUUCAGGAGGAGCAAUCAAAGAGGUGAAAUAUGAAACAGAGGGAAAAUGUGGACUAGUUUCCAUGAAGGUUCGCGGAUGUGGAACGUUUGGAGCUUAUUCAUCUGGGAAGCCUAAACGAAUUCAUGUUGACAACGAAGAAGUACAGUUUGAUUACGACGAAUCCUCUGGAUUGUUCACCAUUAACAUUACAGUUCCUGAUCAAGAAUUAUACCUUUGGGAUGUUAAAGUUGAAACGUGAAAACUGCAAGAUGACCAUGAGUUGAAGACUUCUCAUAGUUUUUAAAAUUUAGACACUGUUAUUUAAAUUUUAUCGCACAAGGACGAAAAUUCUCAAUUUAGU
rnacentral:misc_RNA from 1 species